GUGGGGAAUCUUGCGCAAUGGGCGAAAGCCUGACGCAGCCAUGCCGCGUGAAUGAUGAAGGUCUUAGGAUUGUAAAAUUCUUUCACCGGGGACGAUAAUGACGGUACCCGGAGAAGAAGCCCAGGCUAACUUCGUGCCAGCAGCCGCGGUAAUACGAAGGGGGCUAGCGUUGCUCGGAAUUACUGGGCGUAAAGGGCGCGUAGGCGGACAGUUUAGUCAGAGGUGAAAGCCCAGGGCUCAACCUUGGAAUUGGCUUUGAUACUGGCUGUAUUGAGUACGGGAGAGGUGAGUGGAACUCCGAGUGUAGAGGUGAAAUUCGUAGAUAUUCGGAAGAACACCAGUGGCGAAGGCGACUCACUGGCCCGUUACUGACGCUGAGGCGCGAAAGCGUGGGGAGCAAACAGGAUUAGAUACCCUUGUAGUCC
rnacentral:rRNA from 1 species